UGGAAAGGUAAUUAGAGGUAUUUGGAGACGAGUGUACAAGCGAGAAAUGGAACUUAACAAAGAGGGUUGAAGCACUAAAAUCUGUGUAAUUUUCCAUAGAAUCACUAAAAGCGAUCACAAUAAAAACAUUUAUUCUAUUUAGAAUAGCUGAAAACAACAACGAUAAUGUUUACUAAGUGCCUACUAUGAUGUGCCAAACACUGUUGGAGGCAGGAGUUGACAGCGGCAAACAGGACAGCAGAGCCCCGCCCACCUGGUCUUCCGUUCUCGUGGUGGUGAAAGUAAAAAAAAAAAAAAAACAAAAACAAACCAAAAAACCAAUACAAAUAAAUGAAUAAUUACGAUCAAUUCAGCUUCUGCAAAUCCUAUGGAGGAAACAAUUGGAGGAGAAGGGGGUGGGGCGGCGCAUUAGAGGUUAACUGAAGGUCAGGGAAGAUCUCUUCAGGAGGUGACAUUUGAGCUGAGACCUGGGGGGGUGAGCCAGCAGAGGAAAAGCCAGGGCCAGCUUGCCAAGUCCCUAAGAGAUCAAAUGGCUUGUAAGAGGAAGCCAAUGGGAAAGAGGAAGGAGCCCGGCCAGCGGCUAACGCAGGCCAUUGCAUAGCUUACUAGCAGCUUCCCGAUUCUCAGAAUGAGAAAGGAAUUUGUACAAAACCCAAGGCCGACAAGGACCAUUUGCUUGCUUUAGAUCACCCAAGUCUUGGGCAGCAAAGGUAAGGUGAGAACCCAAGCCUUCCAAAUUGCCGGCAAAGGACCUUGUUUCUGUAUUGUCAGAGUGGAGCAUGUUGAACACCUAUGGUCUAUAUCGGCAGCUUGUUUCCAGUUGUGCCUGUGUAACUUUUCCAGUACACUGGCCUUGGAAUAAUUUGGGGUUCAAGAACUGACCAACCCCAACUCUACCUCGUCCUGGAUCCUCAAUGCAUCAUUUAUCUUUCCUGGGUCUCAUCUAUAGAAUGGAUUGCUGUUCUACACAGGUCAUCAGGCAGCGUUUAGACCAGUACCCAGCACCGAGAAAACAUGUAAAAUGUUGACUAUCAUCACCAUUGUUAUCAUUAUUAUUUUGUCAAUAUCUUCUCUGCCACUGUAUUAGCGGUCUCCAUUAUAACAGAUUGUAGUGUACAUCAUUUUACAUUUCAUCUACCAAUGUACAAGGGACUAGAGCCUAACAAAUGACUUUAUGAUUCAAACAUUUGCCCAUUCAUCACAGCACCAGCUAUAGAUCAAGUAUGGUACCGGGUUUAAGGAAAACAAAAAAAUUUUAAAGUGAUGAUUGAUCAGUUGGGUCAGGCUCAUUGCCAGAGCCCCGGAUCUGUGAUGUAUUGACUAUGUGAAACCAGCACGUUACUUAACUUCUCAGGGUCUCAGGAUUCACAUCUGAACAAGGGGGAUAACUAGCCCACGGCACGGUUCCGAUGACACACAUGGAAUGGUGCGACUCCCGGAGGCACUGACUCUGGAGCCCACGGUACAGACACAGCUCCAGACUGUCAGUUCCUGUCGGCCUCAGCCUUCAGGAUGCAAUAAGUUGAGGAGACAAUAUUACUUUGGAGGUAAACAGAAGUUUAAACUUCAACAGUGGACUUAAAAUGGCAGCUUACUAAGAGAAGGAGCCUAUACUGUAAGAGAUUUCUUUAAGAUCAAGAUUUUUUAGUUAGAAAAAAUAAAAGGAAAGAAAAGAGAAGAGAAGAGAAGAAAAGAAAAAAGAAAAAGAUUAAUGUAUACCAAAUCCUGGCACAGCAAAGACAGUGAAUUUUUCUUCCAAGUCCUUCUGGUGAACUCCAGCAUAAGAGGUUAUGCAUCUGAUUCUUGUAAACAUUAUUGUCUUUUUCUAAACUUUGAAUUAUGAUACCUUUAGGGGAGGGGUCCAAAAGUGACUUAAAGGGAAGGGAAAGACUCAUCAUCAAGUGAAAUUCCAGUGGCAGAGUUUCCAGUGAAAGGGAAUUACUGGCUCCUUCAAGGGCUAUAUUCUAUUUUUGUUCCUUAAUUUAUUAUUAUUCAUUUCAUAUAAAAUGAAUUUAAUUGCUUUGCAUAAUCACAAGAGUAACUUCUGCUCUUCUGAGGGUGGAAAAUUUAGGCAACAGAUAAGAGAGGAGAAAAUGUUCACAAUUCCACCUGCCUGUGGAUAAGCAAAGUUAAUUCAGGGUGUCACUUUGCAGAUUUGUAUUUGUUUAUUUAAUAAAAGAUUGAUUGAUUCAUUGA